UACGUGCCAGCAGUCGCGGUAAUACGUAGAAGACAAGUGUUAUUCAUCUUUAUUAGGUUUAAAGAGUACCAAGACGGUUAAUAAAGCCCAAAAAAAAUGAAUACGGGGGACACAUUGACUAGAGUUAUAUGAAAAGAAGCUAUAAGGUACUGUUGCGUGUAGAGAUGAAAUUCUAUGAUACCAGAUAAUUGGCACAGAUUUAUGCGAAGGCAUCUUCUUAUGUAAUAACUGACGUUGUAGGACGAAGGCUUAGGAAGUGAACAGGAUUAGGUACCCCAGUAAUCUAGGCAGAAAAUGAUGAAUGUCAUAGGUUAAAUACAGACAGGUUAAAUUGACCAUCUAAUAGUAAAUAGGUGGUAUAUUAAUCAGUCAAUUAUUGUGUCUAUAAAUGAAAGUGUAAGCAUUCCACCUCAAGAGUAAUUUGGCAACAUUGGAACUGAAAUCAUUAGACCGUUUCUGAAACCAGUAGUGAAGUAUGUUGUUUAAUUAGAUGAUACACAAAAACCUUACCACAAUUUGAAUAUAUAUAAAAUAUAUUUACAAGCGCUGCACGGCUGUCUACAGUUAAUGUC
rnacentral:rRNA from 1 species